rnacentral:rRNA from 1 species
UACAGAGGGUGCGAGCGUUGUUCGGAAUUAUUGGGCGUAAAGGGCGCGUAGGCGGUGCGGUAAGUCACCUGUGAAAUCUCCUGGCUCAACUGGGAGCUUGCAGGCGAAACUGCCGUGCUGGAGUGUGGGAGAGGUGCGUGGAAUUCCCGGUGUAGCGGUGAAAUGCGUAGAUAUCGAGAGGAACACCGGUGGCGAAGGCGGCCUUCUGGACAGUGACUGACGCUGAGACGCGAAAGCGUGGGGAGCAAACAGG